GAAAUUCAAGGGCGUAUGGUGGAUGCCUUGGCUAGAAAUAGCGAUGAAGGACGUGGCGUGGCGGCGAUACGCUUCGGGGAGGUGCCUAGCAACCUUUGAUCCGGAGAUUUCCGAAUGGGGAAACCCCUCGUGCUUGCACGAGAUCCCGACGUAAGUUGGGAAGCAAACCCUGGGAAGUAAAACAUUUCAGUACCAGGAGGAAUAUAAACUAAUAAGCAUUCCGUAAGUAGCGGCGAGCGAAAGCGGAGAAGCCCAAACCUAAGCAUCACAUUGCAUGUGAUGAAAAUGUAGUAAGGGAAAAGUAUUAAGUAUUAAGGUAGAAAUAAAUUCCAUAAUACAUAACACAAAUCCCAUAAUACUUAUUCAUCGCGCGUAGCGUGAUGCUUGGGGGUUGUAAGACGUAAGCUUCGUAUUUAUACGAGGAAAGUUACAAAAUUAUUCGUUAGAAGAAGCUUCUGGAAAGAAGCACCCCAGAGGGUAAUAGUCCCGUACUUGAAAACGAAUAAUCUUUCUUGCUUAUGUUCUUGAGUACCUCGAGACACGAAAAGCUCGGGGGAAUCUGCCGGAACUAACCGGUAAGGCUAAAUAUAUUUCUAGACCGAUAGUGAACUAGUACCGUGAGGGAAAGGUGAAAAGCAGCCCGGUGAGGGCGGUGAAAUAGACCUGAAACCAUAUGCCUACAAGGAGUCAGAGCGGGCGCUUGCGUCCGUCAUGGCGUGCCUAUUGAAGAAUGAGCCAACGAGUUAAUUUAUGCGGCUUGCCUAAGUGGUAGACCCACCGAGGCGUAGUGAAAGCGAGCGUGAAUAGCGCGAAAUUUUAUGUCGUAUAUAUUAGACCCGAAGCCAGGUGAGCUUGCCAUGGGCAGGGUGAAGUGGGGCGAAAGCCUCAUGGAGGCCCGAACCGGUUGGUCGUGCGAUUCCUUCGGAUGACCUGUGGUAAGGAGUGAAAAGCUAAUCGAA
rnacentral:rRNA from 1 species